rnacentral:rRNA from 1 species
UGCGUGCGGAAGGAUCAUUA